UGUCUGUACUUAAGAAUGUCCGUGUUUAUUUAUCUAUGUUUGGCAAGAACAGAAAGUUAUAAUAUUUCUCAAAGUGAACCAGUUGCAUUAGGAGACAAUGUCACACUUCAUACUGAAGUAGCCGAGAUGACAGGAAUUGUUUUCUGGAAAAACGACAAUGGUAGAUAUGAAUGUAACCCGACUUGUUAUAAUUACGGUAACUAUGAAGUUACACAAGAUGGUAGCAAAUCUACUCUUUUGAUCCGAAUGGUAUCAAAACAAGAUUUCACUUGGCGUUUUUGUGACUUGUAUCUCUGCUCUGCAAAAUAUACCUUAGUGACAAAAGGUGAAAAAACAGAAACAACGACAACAAAAGAUGCUGAAACUAAUGGAUCAGAAGACAGCUUACCAACCUAUGCCUAUGUCUUAAUUUUCAUAUCUGUAUUUGUAGCCAUCGUUAUCAUUAAGAAAGGCCAGGAAUGAUAUUGGCCAACCUUAUUACUGACUUUCACUGAUCUGGGUAGAUUUUAUUUACACAUUUCAUCAUCAUCAUCAUCAUCGUUUGUUUGG
rnacentral:misc_RNA from 1 species